UACAGAGGUCUCAAGCGUUGUUCGGAUUUACUGGGCGUAAAGCGCGUGUAGGCGGCUGGUCAAGCGUGGUGUGAAAUCUCCGGGCUCAACCCGGAAACUGCAUUGCGAACUGACCUAGCUGGAGUGCAGGAGAGGGCAGCGGAAUUCCCGGUGUAGCGGUGAAAUGCGUAGAUAUCGGGAAGAACACCAGUGGCGAAGGCGGCUGCCUGGCCUGUAACUGACGCUGAGACGCGAAAGCGUGGGGAGCGAACCGG
rnacentral:rRNA from 1 species